rnacentral:rRNA from 1 species
UACAGAGGUCUCAAGCGUUGUUCGGAUUCAUUGGGCGUAAAGGGUGCGUAGGCGGCGCGGUAAGUCGGGUGUGAAAUUUCGAGGCUUAACUUCGAAACUGCAUUCGAUACUGCCGUGCUUGAGGACUGGAGAGGAGACUGGAAUUUACGGUGUAGCGGUGAAAUGCGUAGAUAUCGUAAGGAAGACCAGUGGCGAAGGCGGGUCUCUGGACAGUUCCUGACGCUGAGACACGAAGGCCAGGGGAGUAAACGGG